ACUGCUCAGUAACACGUGGACAACCUGCCCUUAGGUUGGGUAUAAACCCGGGAAACUGGGUAUAAUACCCGAUAGGUCUCGAUUGCUGGAAUGCAUCGAGAUUUAAAGCUCCGGCGCCUAAGGAUGGGUCUGCGGCCUAUCAGGUAGUAGUGGGUGUAGCGUACCUACUAGCCUACGACGGGUACGGGUUGUGAGAGCAAGAGCCCGGAGAUGGAUUCUGAGACACGAAUCCAGGCCCUACGGGGUGCAGCAGGCGCGAAAACUUUACAAUGCUGGCAACAGCGAUAAGGGAACCUCGAGUGCCAGGUUACAAAUCUGGCUGUCGAGAUGCCUAAAAAGCAUUUCAUAGCAAGGGCCGGGCAAGACCGGUGCCAGCCGCCGCGGUAACACCGGCGGCUCGAGUGGUAACCGCUAUUAUUGGGUCUAAAGGGUCUGUAGCCGGCCGGAUAAGUCUCUUGAGAAAUCUGGCAGCUUAACUGUCAGGCUUUCAGGAGAUACUGUCUGGCUCGAGGCCGGGAGAGGUGAGAGGUACUUCAGGGGUAGGGGUGAAAUCUUGUAAUCCUUGAAGGACCACCAGUGGCGAAGGCGUCUCACCAGAACGGACCUGACGGCAAGGGACGAAAGCUAGGGGCACGAACCGGAUUAGAUACCCGGGUAGUCCUGGCCGUAAACGAUACUCGCUAGGUGUCGGCCACGGUGCGACCGUUGUCGGUGCCGUAGGGAAGCCGUGAAGCGAGCCACCUGGGAAGUACGGCCGCAAGGCUGAAACUUAAAGGAAUUGGCGGGGGAGCAC
rnacentral:rRNA from 1 species